rnacentral:miRNA from 1 species
AGGCAGUGCGACCUGGCUCG